rnacentral:lncRNA from 1 species
UUGUAAUUCCUGACUGCAGUGGGGAGCACAAUAGCUGAGUUCGUGGCCUCUAUGAUAGGCCGGGUAAAAUCUCCCAUGUACUGCAAAUUUUUUCCUGCCAUCUCCUCAACUCCAACGCUAGACAAAAGAGACUCGGUACUCUCUCCUAGGCUUCAAGCACCUCGUGUGCACGGUGAGCGUUGUCAAGAAGAAUGUCAAAUUCCUGUUAAGACUUUAACUCCCUAGCAACACAACACUCAACAAAACAGAUCAAACGCACCAGUGGGAAAAAAAUAACCGAGCAAAAAUAAAA